rnacentral:rRNA from 1 species
CCUGAUGCAGCCAUGCCGCGUGUAUGAAGAAGGCCUUCGGGUUGUAAAGUACUUUCAGUUGUGAGGAAGGCAGUUAAGUUAAUAGCUUAGGCUGUUUGACGUUAGCAACAGAAGAAGCACCGGCUAACUCCGUGCCAGCAGCCGCGGUAAUACGGAGGGUGCGAGCGUUAAUCGGAAUUACUGGGCGUAAAGCGCAUGCAGGCGGUCUGUUAAGCAAGAUGUGAAAGCCCGGGGCUCAACCUCGGAACAGCAUUUUGAACUGGCAGACUAGAGUCUUGUAGAGGGGGGUAGAAUUUCAGGUGUAGCGGUGAAAUGCGUAGAGAUCUGAAGGAAUACCGGUGGCGAAGGCGGCCCCCUGGACAAAGACUGACGCUCAGAUGCGAAAGCGUGGGGAGCAAACAGGAUUAGAUACCCUGGUAGUCCACGCCGUAAACGAUGUCUACUUGAAGGUUGUGGCCUUGAGCCGUGGCUUUCGGAGCUAACGCGUUAAGUAGACCGCCUGGGGA